rnacentral:rRNA from 1 species
GAUGAACGCUGGCGGCGUGCCUAAUACAUGCAAGUCGAGCGAACGGACGAGAAGCUUGCUUCUCUGAUGUUAGCGGCGGACGGGUGAGUAACACGUGGAUAACCUACCUAUAAGACUGGGAUAACUUCGGGAAACCGGAGCUAAUACCGGAUCAUAUUUUGAACCGCAUGGUUCAAAAGUGAUAGACGGUCUUGCUGUCACUUAUAGAUGGAUCCGCGCUGCAUUAGCUAGUUGGUAAGGUAACGGCUUACCAAGGCAACGAUGCAUAGCCGACCUGAGAGGGUGAUCGGCCACACUGGAACUGAGACACGGUCCAGACUCCUACGGGAGGCAGCAGUAGGGAAUCUUCCGCAAUGGGCGAAAGCCUGACGGAGCAACGCCGCGUGAGUGAUGAAGGUCUUCGGAUCGUAAAACUCUGUUAUUAGGGAAGAACAUAUGUGUAAGUAACUGUGCACAUCUUGACGGUACCUAAUCAGAAAGCCACGGCUAACUACGUG